AAUCUGAAUCAAAUCAAGAUGAUGGUCAAAGAUGAAGACAUCUCAGAAAGCAUGCAUAAGACAAAGUUGUGCAGCAUUGUUUUUAGAUUAGAGUGCAUUUUGUAAUCUAGCUAAAAGCUUUGUAAAACUUGGAGUAUAUAACCAAGUUAGUAGCAUCAGUUGAACUUGUUCAAAUUACUUGAGAGAAAAAUCUGAGAGUUAGAACUUGUUUGAGUGAUGAACCAGCAG
rnacentral:lncRNA from 1 species